GACCAAAAUGUCCUUCUACAACACAUCAGUGUAUACUAAGGGCUAAUUCUGCUGCUUACUCGUACUGGUAUUUGGUUACUGUAUACCAGCCCAGUUGCGCGGAAUACGCCGAAUCAGCCCGCUGCAGACAGGCAGGUCUGUGAACACCCUACCGAGGUCCUGAGUCGCGCAGAAGACACCGAAUCACCCCACUGCAGACAGGCAGCCACCUGGUUCCACACUACAAAGACGCAGAGGACACCAGACCACAAGACCAAGGUGCUAACAGCCCCCCACCCCAGUCGAAAUGAGAAAACACAUAAAUAAGUCUCAAAACCAGACUUCCAGAUCACCUACAGCAACCCCAAAGGGAAAUGAGAUGGAGCACUCUGAUACUCAACCACCUGGACCCACUAAACUGGCAACAAAAGAGGAUCUGGAAAAAACGAAAUCAGAAAUCGUUUCU
rnacentral:lncRNA from 1 species